UACGGGGGGGGCAAGCGUUGUUCGGAAUUACUGGGCGUAAAGGGCUCGUAGGCGGCCAACUAAGUCGGAUGUGAAAUCCCCAGGCUCAACUUGGGAACUGCAUCCGAUACUGGAUGGCUUGAAUCCGGGAGAGGGAUGCAGAAUUCCAGGUGUAGCGGUGAAAUGCGUAGAUAUCUGGAGGAAUACCGGUGGCGAAGGCGGCAUCCUGGACCGGCAUUGACGCUGAGGCGCGAAAGCCAGGGGAGCAAACGGG
rnacentral:rRNA from 1 species